rnacentral:misc_RNA from 1 species
GUGAAUCAUCAAAUCUUUGAACGCAAAUUGCACUCUCCUCGGAGAGUAUGCCUGAUUUAGUUCAGCCUAUAAAAAAUCGCCAUCGUUGCUUUUUCGCGUUGGCAUUCGUCGGUAAUUGGGUCAUCUUAAAUCUUUUGGUUUUAAGUGACUUAAAAUCUUCUUUUUGGUUCCAUGAACGCUUCUAAGAUUUAUUUCUUUACACGUUUAAGGUAUCGAUUUUUAUUAGACGUGACCAUCAUAUCUGAUCCCGCCCAUAAACUGUCAUUAACUGAC